rnacentral:rRNA from 1 species
GUGUGGGAGCAACAGGAUUAGAUACCCUGGUAGUCCACGCCGUAAACGAUGUCGACUUGGAGGUUGUGCCCGNGAGGCGUGGCUUCCGGAGNUAACGCGUUAAGUCGACCGCGUGGGGAGUACGGCCGCAAGGUUAAAACUCAAAUGAAUUGACGGGGCCCGCACAAGCGGUGGAGCAUGUGGUUUAAUUCGAUGCAACGCGAAGAACCUUACCUGGUCUUGACAUCCACGGAAGUUUUCAGAGAUGAGAAUGUGCCUUCGGGAACCGUGAGACAGGUGCUGCAUGGCUGUCGUCAGUUCGUGUUGUGAAAUGUUGGGUUAAGUCCCGCAACGAGCGCAACCNUUAUCCUCNGUUGCCAGCGGUCCGGCCGGGAACUCAAAGGAGACUGCCAGUGAUAAACUGGAGGAAGGUGGGGANGACGUCAAGUCAUCAUGGCCNUUACGACCAGGGCUACACACGUGNUACAANGGCGCAUACAAAGAGAAG